GGCAGCCAAGCGGCCUAAAGGUGCAGGAUUCAGCCUCAAGUCUCUCUGGAGGCGUGGGUUCAAAAUCCCACUGCUGCCA